AAAGAUCACCUAAUUCCAGCCCCACCGUCAUGUGCAGGUACACCUCCCACUAGACCAGGUUGCCCAACUCCCCAUCCAGCCUGGCCUUGAACACCUCCAGGGAUGGGGCAUCCACAGCUUCUCUGGGCAGCCUGUGCCAGGGCCCCACCACCCUUUGAGUGAAGAACUUCCCCCUAACAUCUAACCUAAAUCUCCCCUCUUUUAGUU